rnacentral:rRNA from 1 species
UGUUUAUUAAGUCCGUUGUUAAAGCUAGGGCUUAACCCUAGAAAAGCAAUGGAAACUAGUAGACUAGAGUAUGGCAGGGGUAGAGGGAAUUUCUAGUGUAGCGGUGAAAUGCGUAGAUAUUAGAAAGAACACCGGUGGCGAAAGCGCUCUACUGGACCAUUACUGACACUCAGAGGCGAAAGCUAGGGUAGCAAAAGGGAUUAGAUACCCCUGUAGUCCUAGCCGUAAACGAUGGAUACUAGAUGUUGUGCAUUAUGUACAGUAUCGUAGCUAACGCGUUAAGUAUCCCGCCUGGGGAGUACGCUCGCAAGGGUGAAACUCAAAGGAAUUGACGGGGGCCCGCACAAGCGGUGGAGCAUGUGGUUUAAUUCGAUGCAACGCGAAGAACCUUACCAGGGCUUGACAUACUACGAAUUUUCUUGAAAGAGAAAAGUGCCUUCGGGAAUGUAGAUACAGGUGGUGCAUGGCUGUCGUCAGCUCGUGUCGUGAGAUGUUGGGUUAAGUCCCGCAACGAGCGCAACCCUUAUUUUUAGUUACCAAUUCGAUGGGUUCUCUAGAAAGACUGCCGGUGACAAACCGGAGGAAGGUGAGGAUGACGUCAAGUCAGCAUGCCCCUUAUGUCCUGGGCUACACACGUGCUACAAUGGUUAAGACAAAGAGUUGCGAGCUUGUAAAAGUCAGCUAAUCUCGUAAACUUAGCCUAAGUUCAGAUUGUAGGCUGCAACUCGCCUGCAUGAAGUUGGAAUCGCUAGUAAUCGCUGGUCAGCUAUACAGCGGUGAAUCCGUUCCCGGGCCUUGUACACACCGCCCGUCACACCAUGGGAGCUGGUCAUACCCGAAACCGUUAGUUUAACCGCGAGGAGAACGACGUCUAAGGUAGGGCUAGUGACUGGGGUGAAGUCG